rnacentral:rRNA from 1 species
AGCAGCCGCGGUAAUUCCAGCUCCAAUAGCGUAUAUUAAAGUUGUUGCAGUUAAAAAGCUCGUAGUUGAAUUUCGGGGUUAGUAGGUUGGUCAUGCCUCUGGUAUGUACUGGUCUCACUGAUUCCUCCUUCCUGAUGAACCUUAAUGCCAUUAAUUUGGUGUUUUGGGGAAUUUGGACUGUUACUUUGAAAAAAUUACAGUGUUUAAAGCAAGCUAACGCUUGAAUACAUUAGCAUGGAAUAAUGAAUUAGGACGUUCGAUCCUAUUUUGUUGGUUUCUAGGAUUGACGUAAUGAUUAAUAGGGAUAGUUGGGGGCAUUAGUAUUCAAUUGUCAGAGGUGAAAUUCUUGGAUUUAUUGAAGACUAACUACUGCGAAAGCAUUUGCCAAGGAUGUUUUCAUUAAUCAAGAACUAAAGUUAUGGGAUCGAAGACGAUCAUAUACCGUCGUAGUCUUAACCAUAAACUAUGCCGACUAUGAGACGGAUGAUGUUUAUUUUUUUAAUGACUCA